GAAGUGCGAAUGCUGACAUGAGUAACGAUAAAGCGGGUGAAAAGCCCGCUCGCCGCAAACCCAAGGUUUCCUGCUCUACGUUAAUCGGAGCAGGGUGAGUCGGUUCCUAAGGCCAGGCUGAGAAGCGUAGCUGAUGGAAAUCAGGUUAAUAUUCCUGAACCGGCGUUGAAUGCGAUGGGGUGACGGAGCAGCCAGAGUGGACCGGGUGUUGGAUGUCCCGGCUUCCGAGCGAUGGGUGCCUGCAGGCAAAUCCGCAGGCGUAUACCCAGGACGAAGGAUCGGGUCUUCUUUUGAAGACGAAGCCACUGGAAGCGCUUCCAGGAAAAACCUCUAAGCUUCAGUUCAACGGCGACCGUACCGUAAACCGACACAGGUGGGUGAGCUGAAUAUGCUCAGGCGCUUGAGAGAACUCGGGAGAAGGAACUCGGCAAAUUGACACCGUAACUUCGGAAGAAGGUGUGCCGUAGUACCGUGAGAGGAGAGACACCUUGAGCGGGAAACGGUCUCAGAGAAUAGGUGGUUGCGACUGUUUAUUAAAAACACAGCACUCUGCAAAGUCGAAAGACGACGUAUAGGGUGUGAUGCCUGCCCGGUGCUGGAAGAUUAAUUGAUGGGGUGAGAGCCCUUGAUCGAAGUCCCAGUAAACGGCGGCCGUAACUAUAACGGUCCUAAGGUAGCGAAAUUCCUUGUCGGGUAAGUUCCGACCUGCACGAAUGGCAUAACGAUGGCCACACUGUCUCCUCCCGAGACUCAGUGAAGUUGAAAUGUUUGUGAUGAUGCAAUCUACCCGCGGCUAGACGGAAAGACCCCAUGAACCUUUACUGCAGCUUUGCAUUGAACUGUGAACCGAUUUGUGUAGGAUAGGUGGGAGGCAGAGAAGAGGCCACGCCAGUGGCCUUGGAGCCGACCUUGAAAUACCACCCUGAUUUGUUUGCGGUUCUAACCACGGACAGUGAUCCUGUCUUGGGACCGUGCAUGGUAGGCAGUUUGACUGGGGCGGUCUCCUCCUAAAGGGUAACGGAGGAGUACGAAGGUACGCUAGGUACGGUCGGAAAUCGUGCUGAUAGUGCAAUGGCAAAAGCGUGCUUGACUGCGAGAGCAACAACUCGAGCAGAUGCGAAAGCAGGUCAUAGUGAUCCGGUGGCUCUGAAUGGAAGGGCCAUCGCUCAACGGAUAAAAGGUACUCUGGGGAUAACAGGCUGAUACCGCCCAAGAGUUCAUAUCGACGGCGGUGUUUGGCACCUCGAUGUCGGCUCAUCUCAUCCUGGGGCUGUAGUCGGUCCCAAGGGUAUGGCUGUUCGCCAUUUAAAGAGGUACGUGAGCUGGGUUUAAAACGUCGUGAGACAGUUUGGUCCCUAUCUGCCGUGGGCGUUGGAAGAUUGACGGGGGCUGCUCCUAGUACGAGAGGACCGGAGUGGACGCACCUCUGGUGUACCGGUUGUCACGCCAGUGGCAUUGCCGGGUAGCUAAGUGCGGAAGAGAUAACCGCUGAAAGCAUCUAAGCGGGAAACUUGCCUGAAGAUGAGUCUUCCCGGAGGUUGAACCUCCCUCAAGAGUCGUCCGAGACCAGGACGUCGAUAGGUCAGGUGUGUAAGCGCUGUAAGGCGUUGAGCUAACUGAUACUAAUUGCUCGUGAGGCUUGAUC
rnacentral:rRNA from 1 species